rnacentral:lncRNA from 1 species
CAUAGAUUUGGCCUGAUUCACCUGGGGUUAUUCUAAUUUCUGUGUUCAGAACAGAGGUGGCCCCAUAAAGACCCACAUAUUCAGUAUGUGCUUACACAGUACUUAAUGGUUCACAGGCCCAGGUCACUGUUGAAAUGCAAUGGAAAGCAAGACUUCACAAGUAAAAUGAAUCCCUGAGAGGAAAAGAGGCUUGAUCUAAAAUGAAAGAGGCACAUAUUUAACUACUUAACAAGGCACAUAUUUGCCAACUUAAUGUGUACUGGAUCUGGUAGGUGAUCCAGCUAGCAAUGGCUUUAGAAGCUUUGGUCUGGGGCUACAAGGAGAACCUCUUUGGAAGUACUUUACUAACAAGCCUGUGAAUCUGAGGUCAAUGCCAGCACCCAGGAAAAAUAGUGAGGCCUCGUGGUACACUUGUAAUCUCGGGGGAAGCAGCAACAAGAUGGUCCCUGGGGCUUGUUGCCUGGCCAGCCAGCCCUACUUGGCAAGUUUCAGGUCAUCAAGAGACCCUGUGUCAACAAAUGAAGUGGUCAGAACUUCGGGGACAACACCUAAGGUUUUCUUAUGUACAGAUGUACAAACACACACACACAUAUACAAUCACACACACACACACAUACAUAUACAAUCAUACACACAUACACAAUCACACACACUCACACACACUUAGUCUGUACUCAUACUUGAGGAGUAAGUGUGCCUUCCCUUUUCUCAGAGGGUCAAGAACCCCAAUCUCUGCUGGAAACCACAGUGUGGAGGCCCAACCUUUCAAACAGUUUUAAAGUAGACUUGUAAUUCUUCCUUUACAGGCCUCAGGAGGAGGCUUAGUGGACUCUGGGAACUUUUCUAGAGCUGCAGAACAAAAGGUGGCAGGUGUUAGGGUCAACUGUCACAUAGGUUUGGUGUGAAAUCACACUCUUCCCCCUAAUUCCAGGUGGCUUCUGUGGUAUGAGGAAGUUAGACAGCCGUUGAGAGGACUGUGGUCUGGAAGAGGUGGCCAGGUGCUGAAGAGCUUUACCUGAGUGACUAACUUCGGAGCAAAGGGCUCAUGAGUGACAAAGUGGACAAAAGGUCACAGAUGCAGGAAGUUGUGGGCCAGACCACUUAAGGCCAGAGGUUUUAGCAUCAAGACACUGAUCUCAGUGAACACACACUACUGUACUAGGCUUAAAACCAAGAUGGACUGGAACGUUUGUUCUGACGUGGCCCUUGGGGAAGGAAGGAACUGGAGCGACUCUGGCUGCUUCCUUGUGGGAUCUUGACAGAACUUUGUUAUUUCUAUACAUGUUGUAUAUGUUUAUAGCAAAUAAUUUCCAGCAUUAGGGCUACAACUGAUAGGAAUCAUAACCUUAACACUUGUGAAAAAUGCACAAAUGUCGCCUUUCUGGUUAGGUAUAAAUAGAAACUGCUCUCUUUUACUAGUUUCCCUGGCUUGAUCUAAACACUGCCCCGCCCCCGCCCCCUCAAGUCUAUGCAGAAUAGCUGACAUUCUUCCUUCCCUCUUAGAGGGCAGAUUAGCACCACCUGUCUUGGCUAACAUUCACGGGAUUCAGCAGGAAAACUAGUAUUAGGGAGGGAAAACUCCCUGAAUGUGGUAUUUUGGGAUUACUUCUUUGGUUGCGAAACCGCUACCUUUGUAUUCAAAGGUGAUGAGACAUUUUUCUGGCUAGAAACAGAGUUGGCGCAGUGAGGUGUCAAGUUCAAAGGAGACCCUGAAAAGAUCUAAGCCCGAUUUGAGCCAAAGCCUUGGGAGGAAGGUGAGUGAUGGGUGGCAAGGCUUGCUUACAUUGUCGACUUACUGUUACAGUGGGGGGGAGGAUUGUGGUCAUCCCCUCGCUGAGCCAUCCCACCCCUCCUUCUGUGGAAGGUAUUAAUGUAGGCCCUCCUUCCAACUGGCUCUUUGCCAGCUAGCUGGCACGGUUCAAUGGCUUCCUCUGUGAGGCAGUGUCAGGGAAGUUGCAAGUGUCUCCAGGUUCAAAGGGCUUCGAGGUGGGUGUGCUGGAUUUGGCGUUCAGAACGGAGCGCAUCAUGGGCUUCUUGUUUAACCUUUUGCUGUCUGUGGUUUUCCUUUUUCUGAAACGGUGAUAGUGGAGUGCUGCUGCAGGCGUGUUGAGAAGAUUACGGAGUUCAUGUUUGGUGAAGGGCUUUGAGAGUCUCAGAUGAAAGGUGUUCCACAAAAAAAUCACACUCACACAUUGUUUCUUCCCUGGUGCCUUUCUUCCAGGGAGCUCAGACUGCUUGAAAAAAAAAAAAAACUAUUUCAUUAAUCCUCACAGCCUCCCUUUAGCGAUUAGUAUCCCCUGUUCUCAUAUCAGAAAUUUGGAACAUAGGAAGCCAGUGUCAUGGCUAAAGUGACCUAGCAGGUCACUGGUAAAAUCAACAGUGGGAUUCAGGCCCCAUCUAUGUCUCCAUUGACUCAUUCAUUGGUCAAAUAUUUGUCCACGGUUAUAAGCCAGACACUGGACCUAUUGAGCAGGAAGAAUAUUUUGGGAAACUAAAGUGCAUUCUCAGUUACUAAAGGGGUGGAGUCUGCGUACUUGAGUUAGUAGAUAAACAACAAUAUAACAUAGACACUCUUUCACAAAGGACAGUGAUAAGAGCCGGUAUGAGUCCAAUCUAGUAAAAAAAGAAAAAAAGAAACACAAACAAACAAACAAAACACCAAAUAAGUAACUCAGCUUGACAAAGGAUGUCAUAUGAAUGAGCAUCUUUUUGAAGGAUGAGUUUACCAGCUCACCAGUAGAAAAAUACAUGCUGAAGAAACGCAUCUCAAACAGGAGCAUGAAGGAUCAGGAGAAAUCUGUGGGAAGAGAUGGCCCUGGCCUGGUGAGAGCAAAGCAAGCUUGAGUAGAGAAGCGACCUAAGCCGUAUGAACUUUAUGAGGUAACUGAGCAGCCUCAGAGGUUGCUCCAGGAGAAGGAAUGCAGUCACCUUUACAAGGAGGAGUGUUCUCUUAUCGGAAGUUGGACUCUUUUACAGUUGCAACUGCCCUGGAGCCAAAUGCAUCCUGCAAACAGCCAAGUGGAAGAUCUCACACAGAAGCCGUUUGUAAAUGGUUCCCAGGUGGCUACAACACAGCAAACUUUGAGACUUCAGACUCCCAGCGCUCAUCUUCCCAAUGAUCCAUCCCAGAAAGGUGAACAUAUGACAAUGUUUCUAGAAGAAAAGGAGUUAUUGGAGACUCAACAAAACCAGGAUUUGGAAGAGGACAGGCAAAUAUUAUUUGACAGAGCUAGAAGCUCAGCUGCGAGCUCCUUUCCAUCCAUUGGAGAAGGGUAUCCUGCUCGGUGGGGAUUUUUUUUUUCAGACACGUGGUGACUGAUGCUUGUGUCUAGGGAAGAAAUUUUGACCCCACUGUUGAACUGUGUUGGGAGAUCUGGAUUCCAGAACGUUCACAUGGAUCUCUCAGUGAUCCUGAUUUGUCCCUGUGAGCCUUGCUUUCACCCCACCACAAGGAGGAAUGGUGAACUUCGUCUUCACUGUGAAAUGUGCUCUUCAUGCAGGCAACCAAACCAAAGAAAGAGAUGAUCAGAUCUGUGUAAUGGAACACUCCAGUGCUGAUUGGUUGGGGGGAAAAGACUCCCCCAUGCUUGUCUUUUUAUUUUGAAACGAUCAAUGGCCACAAGCGCAUUAAGUUAUACUCUUGAUGUAUCUAGUUGCAAGGUAAGAAGCCUGUGUAAAGAGUUGACUUAAUAUCUGCAUAGGUGAAGUGGAGAGAUACUGGAUGGGCACGCAUGCGCAUGCCUGCUUCCCAGGGACUUGGCUUUGAUCUGGAGUGAUCUCCCCCUUGGUGACCCCUUGGCUGGCUACUAAGUCUAAAUAGUUGUCUGGCAUCCUUUCUCUUGGUCUCUUUGUUCUUUUAUUCAACAAUUGCGUCUUAAAACCCAAGAAGCCACCAGGGACUCCCACACAGGUGGUGGAUCUUUUAUCUGUUCCUCUGUGUUGUGAGAUACACUGGGCCUAACACACUUCCGGGGUAAUCCAGCUUUUGUAUACUCAGGGCAGCUAGUUUAAAAAUGUGACUGGAGGUAUCUUGGCUUCUGCAGCUGGUAUCUCUGGAUAGUUGAUUUAGCUACAGCAUUGUUGACUACGCCUGUAUGCCUGUAUUCAAGAUCGAAAACGCCAGCUGUGCUGCAAUCCACACACAGGUCAAUAUACAGUCCUUCGUUUCAGUAAUCCCGACUAGCAAGGAGAGGUGUCCCUGCUGUGUCGUCCUCACCCUUUCUGUUUUAGGAAGGUCAAAGGUGAGGUUCAAUGUUGCCCUUAGUACCCGGAAGUGGAGCCAAGACCGGAGGAAAGAACACCCCGUGGCGAUCUCAUACCUAUGAUGUGGGCGAACAGUGGCCAGAAGCCAAGAAAAGCUGCAGAACCUCUGGUCUGCUCUAGGGUGAAGCGUGGUAGGUUUCCUUGUGGAGCAGGGAUUGUUUGCUUCUCAAAACUGAACAGAGUGUUGUAAGCCACAUUCCUCUUCAAUCUUUCGCUUGUUUAUAUGUCUUCAACUUUAGACAACCUUCCUGGAAUUAUCUUCUAGCGAGAAGUAAAAAGUUAUUUUAUAUGAGCAAUAGGAUGUGUUUGUAAUAGAUGUUGAAAUAUGUUUCAGAAUGGGUAACAUUGCUGCUAUUUUAUGCCAUUCUGGUCUUUGAGUAAAACGCCUACAAAGUUUUGCAAAAACAAAAACAAAACAAAACAAACAACAACAACAACAACAACAAAACCCCAAACAAACAAAAAACCAGUAACAAAAAUCCAAAUGAUGGUGAUGAUGAUGGUGGUGGUGUUAGUGGUGGUGGUGGUAAUGAUGAUGAUGAUACUGAUCAAUGAAGUCCUUAAGUAGCCAAGAGGCAGACGUGGAAGCAUCUGAAAAGUGCUUGCUUUCUCAUGCACUCUAGAUUACAACCUCUUAAGCUCACAUCUUUACCUUGGAUUUAACUAAAGCUAAAGAAAAAGGAUUGCAAUGGAAUUGGACUCUGUAUGGCAGGAAUGGAAGUCAGGGAUCUGUGAUGGAAAUACAGAAAACAUCACCGUACACAUACAUGGAUGUGUGUUUGACCAUGCACGUGCACACACACACACACACACACACACACACACACACACACACACACAGAGAGAGAGACACACACACUAUUCUCUUGCACAGUAUUUUCCUGAGUGUGAAUGGAUCUCAGGAGUAAGAGUGCAGACACCACUUAAGGUAGCAUCAAGACGAGUGUAGAUUCACUUGAUGGUCACCUAGAAAAUGCUUUUAGGAAUCGUGUUAAUGUGGUAUUUUCCCUAAUUUGGAAUUUUGGUUGUCUUUUUAAUGUGAGUGUUUUCCAGUUCUAUUACCAUGAAUCCUAAUCAGUCACAAGU